GAAACUAUAUCAACGUUUGGAGAAUAUUCAAAUGUAUUUUUGGCAACAUUCGAGAAUUAUUUUCACGAACUUCUCGUUGUUAACUUGCUUUUUCGUUCGAGACGAACUGGAUAACUCGAUGAAAGAAUAAUCUUCCAAUGUAUUUAUAACUCCUUGUAAUUCCUCCCCUCAAUAUUGAGAAAGAAUCUCCAUGCCGAAUGUAAUGUAUAUUAACGUGCAGAUUUUAAAUAAGAGCACUUUAUUAACAUUAUUAACGUUUUUACUCAAAAGAGUAAUAAAAAAAAAUGAAAGUGAAAAAAAUCGGUGAGAUUCGAGUUUUCAACUUCGAUUCUUGCCACAAAAAAAAAAAGAAAAAAAUGAUUCAUUUAGAAUAUAUGUUUUUAAAUA